rnacentral:rRNA from 1 species
CCUACGGGAGGCAGCAGUGGGGGAUAUUGCACAAUGGGGGAAACCCUGAUGCAGCGACACCGCGUGAGUGAAGACGCGCUUCGGCAUGUAAAGCCCUAUCAGUCGGGAAGAAAAAGGACGGUACCCAACGCGGAAGCACCGUCUAAAUACGUGCCAGCAGCCGCGGUAAGACGUAUGGUGCAAGCGUUAUCCGGAGUGACUGGGUGUAAAGGGAACGUAGACGGUUGUACAAGUCAGAUGUGAAAGCCCACGGCUCAACUGUGAGAGUGCAUUGGAAACUGGAGAACUAGAGUACAGGAGAGGUAAGCGGAAUUCGUGGUGUAGCGGUGAAAUGCUUAGAUAUCACGAGGAACACCAAUGGCGAAGGCAGCUUGCUGGACUAUAACUGACGCUGAGGCUCGAAAGCGUGGGGAGCAAACAGGAUUAGAUACCCCAGUAGUC